UACAGAGGUCUCAAGCGUUGUUCGGAUUCAUUGGGCGUAAAGGGUGCGUAGGUGGCGCGCUAAGUCAGGUGUGAAAUUUCGGAGCUUAACUCCGAAACUGCAUUUGAUACUGGCGUGCUUGAGGACUGGAGAGGAGACUGGAAUUCCUGGUGUAGCGGUGAAAUGCGCAGAUAUCAGGAGGAACACCGGUGGCGAAGGCGGAUCUCUGGGCCUUACCUGACGCUCAGGCGCGAAAGCUAGGGGAGCGAACAGG
rnacentral:rRNA from 1 species